GGCGAACGGGUGCGUAACACGUGGGCAAUCUGCCGAGAAGUGGGGGAUAGCUCGCCGAAAGGCGAAUUAAUACCGCAUACGAUCAGGGAGGACAUCCUCUCGACAUCAAAGCCGGGGCAACCUGGCGCUACUCGAUGAGCCCGCGGCUAUCAGCUAGUUGGUGAGGUAACGGCUCACCAAGGCGAUGACGGGUAGCUGGUCUGAGAGGACGACCAGCCACACUGGAACUGAGACACGGUCCAGACACCUACGGGUGGCAGCAGUCGAGAAUUUUUCUCAAUGGGGGCAACCCUGAAGGAGCGACGCCGCGUGGAGGAUGAAGGCUUUCGGGUUGUAAACUCCUGUCAUUUGGGAACAAGGUAGCGCGGUUAACUGCCGCGUUAUUGAUAGUACCAGAAGAGGAAGAGACGGCUAACUCUGUGCCAGCCGCCGCGG
rnacentral:rRNA from 1 species